CCCCGCUCCGCCCCCCGCGCCCCGCACGCCCCGCUCCGCCCCCUGAGCCCGCACGCCCCGCUGCUCCCCCUGCGCCCUCCGCCCGCCCCUCCUCCCGAGCGCCGGGGCCUGGGGGCGGCUCCGGGGAGGCGGCGCCGGUGCCAGGUUACCGGCUGGGGGAUUCGGAGGGUCGCGGGCCUCGUACCCACGGCAGUGCGAACGCCCAUCUAGGCUCACCAGGCCGGGCCACACCGCGGGCCCGCCCCGCGGGCACACGCUUCCUUCCUGUCCGCGCCCGAGCUGCGGGCGGGCGGCGCCCCGGCCUGGGGCCCGCGUCACGCCGGGGCCUCAAUAAAGGGCUUUGUGGUCCCGGCCCCGCCCGCGAGGGGUCGGGGCGCCGGGCUUGGGAUGCGCGCCCCGCGAGGUCCCGUCGGACACAGGCCCCCUGGUGAGACAGCCAGGACCGGGACCACGCUGGACGGAACAAAGGCCACGAGCCAAAGACAGGGCUGGUUGUUGUGAGGAUUAAAGAUCAUGUCUAAAUUCUCUGCCACGUGGAGAAGAAAUCAGGACCCAGGGAGAGGAUGUGAUGAGUCCAGGGCCACACUGAGAGAUAUCAGACAGCCUGUGAUUUCACCAUAUGGGAACUCCUUUUCUUGCAUAUGUAGAUAAUUCCUGACAAUUGUGUUUAGUUAUUUCCUGUGUGACUCACUUUGAACAAAUCUGGUGGAAGUUAUGGUGUAUGACUUUUGAGACUAGGUCAUAAAAAGUAUUGUGGCUUCCUUCUUGCUGUCUCUCUUGGAUCACUAACCCUGGAAGAGGCCAAUUGCCAUGUUGGAAGGACACCAAAGCCACCUUAUGGAGAAAUUCACAUGCAAAGGAAUUGAGGCCUCUGGCCAACAACGGGUGAGGUGGCCUCUUGCUACCAACCAUGUGAGUGCGCAAUCUUGGAAGCAGAUGUUCCAUGGCUCGCUCACGCCUUCCGAUGACUGCAGCCCCAGCAGAUAGCCCCAGCUGAUAUCUUGACUGAAGCUUCACGGGAGACCCCGGGCCAGAACCACCUAGCCAAGUCACUCCAGAAUUCCUGGCCCUGAGACAAUAUAAGAUGUUUGUCAUUUUAAGCUUACAACCUUUGGGGUAAUUGUUACACAGCAAUUGAUAACUAAUAAUACUAUUAAAUGUCUUAUUGUGGAAGAAAUGUUUUACGUAGAGGAAAAUAGCCAUAUUUUUACAGUUGGG
rnacentral:lncRNA from 1 species